GGAGGAACCUCUGGAGAGAACCGUUAAAUCGGUCGCCGAAGGAGCAAGUCCUGCCCAUGUGCAGGGUGAAACUCUCAGGCAAAAGGACAGAGGAGUGGAA
rfam:Vibrio vulnificus YJ016 DNA, chromosome I, complete sequence.